rnacentral:rRNA from 1 species
UCGAACGGUGAAGCCCAGCUUGCUGGGUGGAUCAGUGGCGAACGGGUGAGUAACACGUGAGCAACCUGCCCUCCACUUCGGGAUAAGCCUUGGAAACGGGGUCUAAUACCGUAUAUGAACACGUGACGCAUGUCGUGUGUUGGAAAGUUUUUCGGUGGGGGAUGGGCUCGCGGCCUAUCAGCUUGUUGGUGGGGUAAUGGCCUACCAAGGCGUCGACGGGUAGCCGGCCUGAGAGGGCGACCGGCCACACUGGGACUGAGACACGGCCCAGACUCCUACGGGAGGCAGCAGUGGGGAAUAUUGCACAAUGGGCGAAAGCCUGAUGCAGCGACGCCGCGUGAGGGAUGACGGCCUUCGGGUUGUAAACCUCUUUCAGCAGGGAAGAAGGCCUUCGGGUGGACGGUACCUGCAGAAGAAGCGCCGGCUAACUACGUGCCAGCAGCCGCGGUAAUACGUAGGGCGCAAGCGUUGUCCGGAAUUAUUGGGCGUAAAGAGCUCGUAGGCGGUUUGUCGCGUCUGGUGUGAAAACCUCAGGCUCAACCUGGGGCGUGCAUCGGGUACGGGCAGACUAGAGUGCGGUAGGGGAGACUGGAAUUCCUGGUGUAGCGGUGGAAUGCGCAGAUAUCAGGAGGAACACCGAUGGCGAAGGCAGGUCUCUGGGCCGCAACUGACGCUGAGGAGCGAAAGCAUGGGGAGCGAACAGGAUUA